GGGAAAAGAUAAGAAAGGAAAAGAAAAGACAUAAGGUUGUUAUCACUCAUCACAGAAUGUUCUCAGCUUGUUCUUCUGCGUGUGGCCAACCUGGAGGCGCAGGGCUGGGUUCCCAUGCGGCCUCCUUGCCACAGGGUCCAGGAAGGCUGUUUCCAAACCCUCUUGGCAGGAAGAUACACUUCUGGUGGGAUUCAGGUGGAAAGAGACUCCCUCACUACUGGAGAGCAGGCUGGGGUCUGUGUGCUUGGAUAGUUAUCCCACAGAGAGGGACUUCACAAGCCCGAGAGAGAACAGUCCCACCAGGAACAGAGGAGGAGUGAACAGGACAGAGACACAGACAGGCAGGACUUUUCUGAACAGUCAUUUGAACCAGAGAACAAUUUUUCAAUGGACAAUAAAUGUUGCAUAUAAUUGAAAUCUCGGUUACAUUCCCUGAAAAGUGCUUUCUGUGCAACCUGAGAUAAGAGACUCUCCUGGAGCUGCGGUUUCCUCAUCUGUUACACAGUGGUUAUAACGCCUUGCCGUUUCUAUCCGGGAUGACUGGGAAAUUCCUCUGGAAAACAACUACAAAUGCAAAGGUGAAGUAUUUGAUGAUGUGUAUAUGAGCACUUCCCAGUGGGUUUUGUGGUCUGUGGGCAUCUCCAUAGGUCAAUAGGUCUUAAUAGUUUAAAAAAAGAUUCCUUGGUUAAUUAAUUUGAUGAAACACUGGGUUAAACACAGUCAAGCAGAUUUCCUUACUGCAGGACUUCUCAAGGCCUUUAGUAUGUUAAUACGCAUUGAAAAUCGCCAGGAGAGGGGUGUUCUAUGUGGCAUAUCUCAGACAUAUUUACCUAGAGAAGGGG
rnacentral:lncRNA from 1 species